rnacentral:piRNA from 1 species
UCCUUGUGCAUACUGAUUACUGAGUGA